GACGUAGGGCGCGAGCGUUGUCCGGAUUUAUUGGGCGUAAAGAGCUCGUAGGCGGCUUGUUGCGUCAGCUGUGAAAUCCCGCAGCUCAACUGUGGGCUUGCAGCUGAUACGGGCAGGCUUGAGUUCGGUAGGGGAGACUGGAAUUCCUGGUGUAGCGGUGAAAUGCGCAGAUAUCAGGAGGAACACCGGUGGCGAAGGCGGGUCGCUGGGCCGAUACUGACGCUGAGGAACGAAAGCGUGGGGAGCGAACAGG
rnacentral:rRNA from 1 species